GGGCAGAUAGAUAUUGACUUGAUUAACAAUUUAACUUCUUGUCAGAUUUGCUCUAGAUGCUUUGGUUUCAUAGUUAUAAGCCAGAAACUGCAUUUUACCCCUAUGUUCUAUUUUUAGCCGUGGCGGCCAUCUUGGUUGAAUGGCCAGGUCAUCGGACACAUUUUUCAAACUAGAUACCCCAAAGAUGAUUGUGGCCUAGUAGUUUCAGUGGAGAUUUUGUAAAAGAUUACUUGAUUUAUGAAAAAUGGUUAAAGAUUGACUAUAAAAGGCAAUAACUCCUAAAGGGGUCAACUGACCAUUUUGGUCAUGUUGACUUAUUUGUAGAUCUUACUUUGCUGAACAUUAUUGCUGUUUACAAUUUAUCUCUAUCUAUAAUAAUAUUCAAG
rnacentral:lncRNA from 1 species